CGUAAAUAUAACCUAACUUUUGUGUAUUAUUAAAACAUUUUUUGAUUUGUAUAAAAUUUCAAUUAUUUUAAGUUACAAUGCCACCUAAAAAGCAAGCAGACAAGGGAAAAUCGAGUGGUGGCAAAAAUAGCGAAGCAAAAGAAUCCGCAGGAAAGGAGAAAAAAGGUGGCACCGCCAUUAAAGUCCGUCACAUACUCUGCGAAAAGCAAUCUAAGUGCUUAGAAGCCCUGGAAAAACUAAAAGCCGGUCAGAAAUUUCCUGAUGUAGCUGCCGCCUACAGCGAGGAUAAAGCCCGUUCAGGCGGUGACCUAGGUUGGAUGACCCGGGGCUCUAUGGUGGGACCAUUUCAAGAUGCAGCAUUUGCUUUACCAAUAUCAACAGUAGCAAGUCCAGUGUACACAGACCCCCCUAUCAAAACAAAGUUUGGAUACCACAUUAUCAUGGUCGAGGGUAAAAAAUGAUUUUCGUUUCGAAAUAUUUCUGGGCUGUCUUACUCAUCCUUAUAUUGAAAAGAAUUUGCUGUUUACUUGAUCAAUUUGAAGAUGAUUUGGACACAUUAUCAGAUAUGCAACCUUCAGUUGAAUCAAUAACUUCUUACCUUGUUGAAGAUAUAACUAAUAGAGAUUCCAGUUUAAAGAAAAGUUUCCAGAGGCUCUACUGUCUAAUAAAUGUAUCCAUGCUUCUUGUGGCAGUUUUGUCUUGCAACUUAUGUCUUUGGUUUCUGAGUGUUAAGAAAUUACCUAUGCAACAAUAUUUAGCAAACUAUUCAUUUCAAUAUCUGUAACUUCCAAAAGGA